rnacentral:rRNA from 1 species
UGCCAGCCGCCGCGGUAAUACGGAGGGUGCAAGCGUUAAUCGGAAUUACUGGGCGUAAAGCGCGCGUAGGCGGCUUUGUCAGUCAAAUGUGAAAGCCCCGGGCUUAACCUGGGAAUUGCAUUCGAUACUGCAGAGCUAGAGUAUGGGAGAGGGAAGUGGAAUUUCCGGUGUAGGGGUGAAAUCCGUAGAUAUUCGGAGGAACACCAGUGGCGAAGGCGGCUUUCUGGACCGAUACUGACGCUGAGACGCGAAAGCGUGGGGAGCAAACAGGAUUAGAUA